rnacentral:piRNA from 2 species
CAGAGGUUCAUUCUCAGUCGUGCGC